GACGAACGCUGGCGGCGUGCUUAACACAUGCAAGUCGAACGGAAAGGCCUGCUUUCCCUUGUGGAUUGCGGGUACUCGAGUGGCGAACGGGUGAGUAACACGUGAGUGAUCUGCCCCCAACUUGGGUAUAAGCCUGGGAAACUGGGUCUAAUUCCCGAUAGGACUGCAGGGUGGUGCCUGUGGUGGAAAACGAUUUUCUAGUGGUUGGGGAUGAGCUCGCGGCCUAUCAGCUUGUUGGUGGGGUAAUGGCCUACCAAGGCGGCGACGGGUAGCCGGCCUGGGAGGGUGGACGGCCACAUUGGGACUGAGAUACGGCCCAGACGCCUACGGGAGGCAGCAGUGGGGAAUAUUGCACAAUGGGCGGAAGCCUGAUGCAGCGACGCCGCGUGGGGGAUGACGGCCUUCGGGUUGUAAACUCCUUUCGACCGCGAGGAAGCCACCUGGUUGGAAGGGUGGUGACGGUAGUGGGAGAAGAAGCACCGGCUAACUACGUG
rnacentral:rRNA from 1 species